ACGGAGGGUGCAAGCGUUAUCCGGAAUCAUUGGGUUUAAAGGGUCCGUAGGCGGACUAAUAAGUCAGGGGUGAAAUCCAACAGCUUAACUGUUGAACUGCCUUUGAUACUGUUAGUCUUGAGUUAUAUGGAAGUAGAUAGAAUAUGUAGUGUAGCGGUGAAAUGCUUAGAGAUUACAUAGAAUACCGAUUGCGAAGGCAGUCUACUACGUAUAUACUGACGCUAAUGGACGAAAGCGUGGGGAGCGAACAGG
rnacentral:rRNA from 1 species